UCAAACUUGGUCAUUUAGAGGAAGUAAAAGUCGUAACAAGGUUUCCGUAGGUGAACCUGCGGAAGGAUCAUUAUCGCAUCUCCGACGGGGGUGCGGUGCGCCCGGCUCCGGCCCGAACGGCCGUGCAGCGGGCCGCCCGCCCCCCCGCUCGCACCUUCACAAACCCACAGUGAACCUUCACGGCGGACAGAGGGCGACCUCUCGACGCCGCCUACCACAAACUCCAGUUGUAAAGAACGUCGCGCGGACUCCGCUCCGCCUAAACACGAAACAACUUUCAACAACGGAUCUCUUGGCUCUCGCAUCGAUGAAGAACGCAGC
rnacentral:misc_RNA from 1 species